GAUAUCAAUGAAGACACCACGCCAAUGAGGUGGUAAAUCGCGAAAGAUCUUAUGAAUCACAUCAAGUUCAUCACGAAUCAGAUAAUGGAGGUGAUCUGGAAGAGCACUGGGAAGCAAAGUAAGGAACUUAGCAAAAUCAAUAUCAGGUUGACUGGUAUCGGUAUUGUUCUCAGCCAUAAUUGUUUGUGAAAAAGGAGCGAUUUCAGAGAUGCAGGUUCGAAUUUAGAUUUUAGAAAGAUAGGGAAAACAAAAUACGCUAAACUUUGAAACCCUAAUUUAUCUUUUUAGAUUUUUUUUUACCAAAAACGCGUGGUGAUGUUGGUGGUGGACUCCUCUUCAUUUUUUAUUUGAAUAAGAUUGGCACCGUUGAUAUUAUAUAAUUUUUUGCCUUUGAUCGAUUUAUAACUUUGUAACGCUUUGUUUCAAUUCAUUUUCAGAUUCAAGAUGGAGCUGAUUUUCAGAAAGAAGAUAGAACGACUGUUCGCCUUCGCCGUCGAUCUCUCCGUGGCUAGAAAUAAUUUGUAUCUCUCCUCCGUCAUCGGCAUCAUCCUUUCCCUGAUUCCCCGUAAAAAUAUAGGAGGAAAUACAGUUCCACGACUCUUCGAGGGACAGUCAUCGGCCUUCUAUGCCCUGGUAAUAUCUGUCGUAUUUACUUUCACCGGUUCUUUCACGGCGUUGGUGAUAGGAGAUAACUCCAAGACUUCAAGAUUCUGCACGCUUUAUUCCAUGGUCGCCAUGAUUUUAGCUUUAUCAAUUCUCGCGCAUGUCUUUUUAUCCUGAGUGCUUCUUAGGUUCCUUCUGCUUCUCUUUCAAGAUCCAAGCCUCUUUACCUGUAUCUGGCUUUGAGUCCU
rnacentral:lncRNA from 1 species